rnacentral:lncRNA from 1 species
NNNNNNNNNNNNNNNNNNNNNNNNNNNNUUGGGCACAACACGGCAGUCAGUAAUAGUUGAUGACUGACUGAAUGAGUAGCAUGCGAUCAAUAUUAGAGAAUGGGCCAUAGCACAGUGGUUAAAGCCUGCGUUCAAAUCUCAGCUCUGCAACUUCCUAGCUGUGUGACCUUGGGCAAAUUACUUAACCUCUCUGAGCCUCAGUUUCCUCAUCUGUAAAAUGAGGAUAAGAACAUUGAAAGGAACCUACAUCCUAGGAUUGUUGUGGCCUUGCAUCUAGCUCAUGCCUACACAGAACUUACAACAGAGCCUGGCACACAGGAAACACCAAAAAGCCCUUAGCCUGUGUCGUGCAGGUACUACAUGAGUGUGAUUUUCCUGUCUGUGACAUGCAUGUGUGCUCACUGGGGAUAUGGUGUGUGCAGGGGGUGCUUCUGGGCUGGUGAUAGUGAGGGUGGCAGGUGGUAUUGGAGAGUGGGAGGAGCACUAGCUUUGUGGCCAGGCCAGGCAGACAUGGGAUCUAUUCACAGCUUUACCACUUCCCAGCCAGGGGGGAGCCCCAGCAAGGGGCUUCCCCUCACAACAGAAUGAGCAUAAGCCUUUCCUGGAGUUUUGCUCUUGUUGCCCAGAUUGGAGUGC